rnacentral:rRNA from 1 species
GACGAACGCUGGCGGCGUGCUUAACACAUGCAAGUCGAACGGAAAGGCCCUGCUUUUGUGGGGUGCUCGAGUGGCGAACGGGUGAGUAACACGUGAGUAACCUGCCCUUGACUUUGGGAUAACUUCAGGAAACUGGGGCUAAUACCGGAUAGGAGCUCCUGCUGCAUGGUGGGGGUUGGAAAGUUUCGGCGGUUGGGGAUGGACUCGCGGCUUAUCAGCUUGUUGGUGGGGUAGUGGCUUACCAAGGCUUUGGCGGGUAGCCGGCCUGAGAGGGUGACCGGCCAAGUUGGGACUGAGAUACGGCCCAGCGUCAUAAGGGCGGCAGCAGUGGGGAAUAUAGCAAAAUGGGCGGAAGCCUGAAGCAGCAAAGCAGCGUGCGGGAUGACGGCCUUCGGGUUGUAAACCGCAUUAGCCUGUGACGAAGCGUGAGUGACGGUAAUGGGUAAAGAAGCACCGGCUAACUACGUG